UACGUAGGUGGCAAGCGUUGUCCGGAUUUACUGGGCGUAAAGGGUGCGUAGGCGGCGGGGAAAGUCUGAUGUGAAAUCCUGGGGCUCAACCCUGGAACUGCAUUGGAUACUUCCUUGCUAGAGUACUGGAGAGGAAACUGGAAUUUACGGUGUAGCAGUGAAAUGCGUAGAGAUCGUAAGGAAGACCAGUGGCGAAGGCGAGUUUCUGGACAGUUACUGACGCUGAGGCACGAAGGCCAGGGGAGCAAACGGG
rnacentral:rRNA from 1 species